UAAUACGGGGGGAGCAAGCGUUGUUCGGAUUUACUGGGCGUAAAGGGCGCGUAGGCGGUCCUGACAAGUCACUUGUGAAAUCUCCGGGCUUAACUCGGAAAGGUCAAGUGAUACUGUCGGACUAGAGUGCAGAAGGGGCAACUGGAAUUCUCGGUGUAGCGGUGAAAUGCGUAGAUAUCGAGAGGAACACCUGCGGCGAAGGCGGGUUGCUGGGCUGACACUGACGCUGAGGCGCGAAAGCUAGGGGAGCGAACGGGAUUAGAUACCCCGGUAGUCC
rnacentral:rRNA from 1 species